GUGGAGCAUGUGGCUUAAUUUGACUCAACGCGGGGAAUCUUACUAGGUCCGGACCGAUUCUAUGAUCGUCGUACUGUGGGGUGCUACGUGAUUACUGGAUGAGUGGUGCAUGGCCGUUCUUAGUUCGUGGUGUUAAUUGUCUACUUAAUUGUUAUCGGUUCUCGUAUCAUGCGAGACCUAAUAACGAACGAGAUCGAGACCCGUGGUUGCGUGUGUUUGAAUUCGGUAUUACUACGGGGAUCGCGUAUUACUCCACGGUACGAUCGAAAGACUCGGCAAUAACAGGUCUGUGAUGCCCUCAGAUGUUCUAGGCUGCACACGUGCUACAGUGUGGUUCUGUUCAUAUGUGUAUGCGUAGACUUGAGAUCCCCCGCACCGAGUCAUAACUGGUCACACGGUUGGACUCACCGAUGGCCAAUUAUUCGGUAUCUUAA
rnacentral:rRNA from 1 species